GAUGAACGCUGGCGGCGUGCCUAAUACAUGCAAGUCGAGCGAACAGAUAAGGAGCUUGCUCCUUUGACGUUAGCGGCGGACGGGUGAGUAACACGUGGGUAACCUACCUAUAAGACUGGAAUAACUCCGGGAAACCGGGGCUAAUGCAGGAUAACAUGUUGAACCGCAUGGUUCUACAGUGAAAGGCGGCUUUGCUGUCACUUAUAGAUGGACCCGCGCCGUAUUAGCUAGUUGGUGAGGUAACGGCUCACCAAGGCAACGAUACGUAGCCGACCUGAGAGGGUGAUCGGCCACACUGGAACGGAGACACGGUCCAGACUCCUACGGGAGGCAGCAGUAGGGAAUCUUCCGCAAUGGGCGAAAGCCUGACGGAGCAACGCCGCGUGAGUGAUGAAGGUCUUCGGAUCGUAAAACUCUGUUAUUAGGGAAGAACAAAUGCGUAAGUAACUGUGCGCGUCUUGACGGUACCUAAUCAGAAAGCCACGGCUAACUACGUG
rnacentral:rRNA from 1 species